UCGCAAUGCCCGAAAGGGUGACGAAGCGACGCCGCGUGGGUGAGGAAGGCCUUCGGGUUGUAAAGCCCUGUCAGGAGUUAAGAAAUGUAGGCUAGCUAAUAUCGGGUCUAUUUGACAAAGGCUCCAAAGGAAGCCACGGCUAACUCUGUGCCAGCAGCCGCGGUAAUACAGAGGUGGCAAGCGUUGUUCGGAAUUAUUGGGCGUAAAGAGCACGUAGGUGGAUUUGUAAGUCAGACGUGAAAGCCUUCUGUUCAACGGAAGAAUUGCAUCUGAAACUACAAACCUUGAGUGUAGGAGGGGAGAAUGGAACUUCUGGUGGAGCGGUGAAAUGCGUAGAUAUCAGAAGGAACGCCGGCGGCGAAAGCGAUUCUCUGGCCUAUUACUGACACUCAGUGUGCGAAAGCUAGGGGAGCAAACGGGAUUAGAUACCCCGGUAGUCCUAGCCGUAAACGAUGGGCACUAAGUAGAGGGGU
rnacentral:rRNA from 1 species